UACGGGAGGGGCUAGUGUUACUCGUCAUGAUUGGGCGUAAAGGGUCUGUAGGCGGUUUUUUAAGUUGAAAGUUAAAUCACAAAUUUAAGUUUGUUUCUGCUUUCAAUACUAUUAAACUAGAGUAUCAUUAGGGGUAGUGGAACUUUUAAUGGAGAGAUAAAAUUUUGAGAUAUUAGAGGGAACACCAGAGGCGAAGGCGACUAUCUGGAUGAUUAACUGACGCUGAGGGACGAAAGCAUGGGGAUCAAACAGG
rnacentral:rRNA from 1 species